rnacentral:rRNA from 1 species
UACGUAGGGGGCUAGCGUUGUCCGGAAUCAUUGGGCGUAAAGCGCGCGUAGGCGGCCAGAUAAGUCCGGUGUGAAAGCCACAGGCUCAACCUGUGAAUGCCGCUGGAAACUGUCUGGCUAGAGUCCGGGAGGGGCGAGUGGAAUUCCCGGUGUAGUGGUGAAAUGCGUAGAUAUCUGGAGGAACACCGGUGGCGAAGGCGGCAUCCUGGACGACACCUGACACUGAGGCACGAAAGCUAGGGGAGCAAACAGG